ensembl:lncRNA
AGCUUGUCAAACUCAGCCAGCUCCUGUCACUCCUGGGGUGGCUGGAGCUUGGAUGUCGUCACCUCUGAGCAGGGGCAGGGCAGUUUCUCCUUCCAACCUUUCUCUCAGAGCAGAGAGAGCAGUGGAAUGAAGGUCCCACGAGGCCCACCAGCCCCAGGGGCCGCCCGGGGGCGAGGGAUCGAACUUGGGACCUUCUGCUUGUGAGGCAGAUGGUGGAACUGUAAGACCGAGGGCCUUACCAAAUGCUCUGAGGAGCUGACUGUAGUGAAGCACACCCAGGGAUCCCAGCGGUGCCUCCAGAAUGUAAGACCGAGGGCCUUACCAAACGCUCCGAGGAGCUGACUGCAGCGACGAACACCCGGGAAGGAACACACCGGACACGUUGGAAAGUUGGGCAACCACGAAGUUAACCAUUUGAACAAGUCCCCGUCAUCCUCAUUAUAUAUUCUUUGAGCCAGAUCUUCUAAUUGUUUUACCUUUUCUUCGAUCUUUGGACCAUUAUCGGUAAGAUUGAAACAACACAUAUUUUUUACUCUUUCACAACCUUGGUGGUGGAGGAGCAACAAAUAGUCUAUUGCUGUUCUAUUAUCUAAGAUUGCCUGUCUCUGUUCCUGUAACUCUUGGUUAAUUAAUGACAAGGCUGAUGAGCUAGCAUUUAACCCUUUGACCACCUUGCAAGCUAAUUUUCAUACUGCCUUUUCAGCAUGGACUCCUAUAGAAGGCAGGGCAACAAAAGAUGCUAUCAUGGUUAUUACUUCAGCAUCUGUUAACAGACCUACGUCAUCAUCGCAUCCUGGUGCAGUGUAAGGUGACCAACGUUUAGUUCUGUUAGGCACAAUCAAAUCAGUUCUGUCUGGCAACACUACAGCUAGACGACUCAAACAGCAACGGGUCUUGGUUAAAUUUGCUGGAAUAUAAUUAAAGGUUAUCCCUUCACAGGUAUAAAGCCAUCCUGUGGGCAGGGAGAUAUGGCAAUUGUUAUACACAAUUUUUUGUUUUAUAUGGCAGGACAUCCCUUUUGACCAUUUUAUCCGCAGACAUUUGGUUGUGCAAUUUUCAUACAUAGCACAUUCAGUUUUGUUUGACAUAAUUACCUUGGGUGUAUAUAAUUUGACAGCAUUUUUAGGUUUACAGCAGGUGUCAUGCCCCCAAUUUUAACUAUCCAGGUAAGUAAGAUUUUUUUCCUGGGAUGUCUUUAAAUAGGGUAUAGGGUCGUAUUAAUUCUAAAGAGGUGCAUACCGGAAUGAGACAGCUUCCCAGCACAUAAUGGAAAUUUACAUCAACAUUUAAGCAGAAUUCAGACAAGUUAAGCGAGUUUGCCAAUUGAAUCCAUACAUUUUUUUGUGUGAUCUAGUCCUCUUGGGGGCAAUACUGCCAGUGUCCCAGAGAAUAUUAUCAUUAAGGUGAAACAUCUCUAACCCGUUCCAGUCUUAGCUUUUGGUUGCCUGGUUGGCUGAUAACCUUCCAUUUGUCCUUUUUGACAUCCACGGGGGGUCCUGGCUUUCAGAUGGUUGCGAUGUAUCCAGGCAGAAUGUCCAGCCACCUUCACCGCCAAGGGAGCUGACAGGACAGCAGGAACCGGUCCCUUCCAACGAGGUUCCAGGGUCUUGGAAUCAAACCUCCGGAGGUUUUCUGAGGUCUGUGCCUGAGUCUCCUGCUGGAUCCCGCCACAGAGUCUUGGCUGAACGGGGGUCCCUUACCCGGGGAUCUCGCUGGGGCCUCCAAAAUGUAAGACUGAGGGCCUUACCAAACGCUCCGAGGAGCUGACUAUAGUGAAGCACACCCAGGGAUCCCAGCGGUGCCUUCAGAAUGAAAGACCAAGGGCCUUACCAAACGCUCCGAGGAGCUGACUGCAGCGAAGAACACCUGAGAAGGAACACACCGGACACGUUGGAAAGUAAAACAGACCUUUAUUAGUCUGGCCAGACGGCACUCCCAAAGCAAAAUAGCUUAGAGAGGCAGCUAGCUCAGAGUCCGAGGCUGUUUUUAUAGGGGGUUGAGGGGGAGUUAACAUAUAGAAUUAAAGAAAAGGGGACAAAGGUUAGUGGUCGACUGUCACGUAUUGAUGGUCAGCAGACAUUUGCAGCUUGUUCUAAAAAUUGUGGUGCUCGGAACAUCAGUUCCGGGCAAACAAGGAAUUGAGUAGUUUACUUUGGGACUUUAGGUCUGUUACAGAUUUUUAUCUAGUGUCCCAAAACUAACAAGCAUCUUUAUCUCUUAACUCACAUUUAAUCACAAUGGGGCUGGAGAAAAGGAACAAAGGUUAUGCAGUCCCACAGAACCACUGAGCUAAAUCCCCGGCCCUGAAAUGUUUUGAAUACGAC